CCAGACUCCUACGGGAGGCAGCAGUGAGGAAUAUUGGUCAAUGGGCGCGAGCCUGAACCAGCCAAGUCGCGUGAGGGAAGACGGUCCUAUGGAUUGUAAACCUCUUUUGUCGGGGAGCAAAAGACGCCACGCGUGGCGUUCCGAGAGUACCCGAAGAAAAAGCAUCGGCUAACUCCGUGCCAGCAGCCGCGGUAAUACGGAGGAUGCGAGCGUUAUCCGGAUUUAUUGGGUUUAAAGGGUGCGUAGGCGGGCGGUUAAGUCAGCGGUCAAAGGUCGGGGCUCAACCCCGGCCUGCCGUUGAAACUGGGUGCCUUGAGUGGGCGAGAAGUACGCGGAAUGCGUGGUGUAGCGGUGAAAUGCAUAGAUAUCACGCAGAACUCCGAUUGCGAAGGCAGCGUACCGGCGCCCAACUGACGCUGAAGCACGAAGGCGUGGGUAUCGAGCAGGAUUAGAUACCCUAGUAGA
rnacentral:rRNA from 1 species